UACGGGGGGGGCAAGCGUUGUUCGGAAUUACUGGGCGUAAAGGGCUCGUAGGUGGCCAACUAAGUCAGACGUGAAAUCCCUCGGCUUAACCGGGGAACUGCGUCUGAUACUGGAUGGCUUGAGUUCGGGAGAGGGAUGCGGAAUUCCAGGUGUAGCGGUGAAAUGCGUAGAUAUCUGGAGGAACACCGGUGGCGAAGGCGGCAUCCUGGACCGACACUGACACUGAGGAGCGAAGCCAGGGGAGACGAAACGGG
rnacentral:rRNA from 1 species